AAACCCCGAGAAAAUCAUCACAUCACAUCACAUCACAUGUUGGGUUUUGUAAAUGCAGCUCUGUGAAAUGUUGUUUAUAUUUUGGAUUUGCAAAGUCUGAUCAACAAUCUUGAAAAAUGUGGAUAUUUGGAUGGAAAGGGCAAUCUGGAUUCUCAGCCCGCUCUACAGCUGAGGAAGUUACUCAAGGAAUUGAUGGAACUGGUCUCACAGCAAUUGUUACAGGAGCAUCAAGUGGUCUUGGUCUGGAGACAACACGUGUUCUAGCCUUGCGUUGUGUUCAUGUCAUCAUGGCAGUAAGAAAUACAGAGGCUGGUAGGGAUGUGAGAACAGCAAUACUUAAGGAAAUCCCCACUGCCAACAUCAAUGUCAUGGAACUAGAUCUCAGCUCAAUGGCAUCAGUAAGAAAAUUUGCAUCGGAAUAUAACUCCUCUGGUCUUCCAUUGAAUAUCCUGAUUAAUAAUGCAGGGGUUAUGGCAACUCCUUUCAUGCUUUCCCAAGACAACAUUGAACUGCAGUUUGCAACCAACCAUUUAGGCCAUUUUCUUUUGACCAACCUUCUAUUGGAGACCAUGAAGAAGACAACAAGGGAGAGCAAAAAAGAGGGAAGAAUUGUGAACUUAUCAUCAGAGGCUCACCGAUUUGCAUAUAGUGAGGGGAUUCGUUUUGAUAAGAUUAAUGAUGAAUCAGGAUACAGCAGUAUAUACGCUUAUGGACAAUCAAAGCUAGCCAACAUAUUGCAUGCUAAUGAGCUCACAAAGCGCUUGAAGGAAGAAGGAGUUGCUAUAACUGCUAAUUCCCUUCAUCCUGGAUCAAUUGCUACCAAUCUUCUACGCUACCACAGUUAUAUUAAUGUCAUUGCCAGCACACUCGGUAGAUUGAUGCUUAAAUGAUAACUGCAGGGAGCAGCAACUGAAUGCUACGUGGCGUUGCAUCCGCAAGUUAAGGGUGUCAGCGGCGAAUAUUUUAUGGACAGCAACAAAGCCAAUCCAACCUCUCAGGCUAAAGAUCCAGAACUGGCAAAGAAGCUAUGGGAUUUCAGUUUGAGCCUGACGGAUCCAAAGUAACCAGGAACAAAACUCUGUUGUAAAUUGCAAGUCAAUGUCAAUGUCCCUUUUACCAAGUUUGAGACUUGAGUAGAAGCUUAGACGUUGAAUGACCAUGUAAAACAUAUGUAGGCUAUGUCAGGGGACUUAUCCUUGGCCCUUCCUAAAAUUAUGAACUUUUUUUUUUCCUAUUAAGACGUUGAAUUACCAUGUAAAACAUAUAUAGGCUAUGUCGGGACUUAUCCUUGGCCCUUCCUGAAACUAUGAACUGUGUUUUUUUUGUUUUUUUUUUCCUAUAAUGAAAAACAUGGGUUAUGGUUCU